rnacentral:rRNA from 1 species
UACAGAGGUCUCAAGCGUUGUUCGGAUUCAUUGGGCGUAAAGGGCGCGUAGGCGGCGGGGUAAGUCGGGUGUGAAAUCUCAGAGCUCAACUCUGAAAUGGCACUUGAUACUGCUCUGCUAGAGGACUGGAGAGGAGAUUGGAAUUCACGGUGUAGCAGUGAAAUGCGUAGAUAUCGUAAGGAAGACCAGUGGCGAAGGCGGGUCUCUGGACAGUUCCUGACGCUGAGGCACGAAGGUCAGGGGAGCAAACGGG